GGGUGCAAUCAUACCAGCAGUAGUGCACCGGAUCCAAUCAAAACUCCCUAGAUAAGCAUGCCUGGGUGAGAGUAGUACUAGGAAGGGUGAAUUAUUUUUCGUUAAACAUC
rnacentral:rRNA from 1 species